rnacentral:rRNA from 1 species
AUGAAGGCACGGCGGUUCUUGAACGUGCUGACGGACAAAUACAGCGGCCCCGACGCGCUCUACGUCAUGGACCGCAAGGGCCACAGCUUCGAGGCCUUCGUCUACGGCGACCCCGACCCGCCGCCGCCAAGCAGGUUCAUGGAUGAGUGGUACCGCGACCGCGCUCAUAGGGACAGGUGCGUGUGGCACUGGCGCGACCUCCCUCCGCCGCCCAUUGUCGUCGACGAGGGCGACAACUACUACCACGAUCUCACCCCCCUCAGCGGCACCUACUGCUUCAACACGAGAACCGGCGAGUGGACCAAGGCCGGCGACUGGAAGCUGCCAUUCUGGUCCCGCGCCCUGCACGUCCCCGAGCUCGGUAGCGACCUCCUGUUCGGCUUCGAGAAUACAUACUUCCACAUACACUCAUGCUUCAGCGCCGUGGACGUCUCCGGCGCUAGGAGGAUGGACGGGUCGGCCCCGGCGCUGCGCCAUGCGUGGGUCAAAAUCGACCCACCAUCGGGAUGGCACGAGCAGGACCGCAGCAUGGUGUAUCUCGGGGAUGGCAAGUUCUGCAUCCACAGGAGCUUCGACAUCAUGGAAACGUACGGAUGGAGCAGUGGUCAUGAGGAGCGUGUCGACACGGUGGUCCUGCUCACCGGCGUGGAGGUGGUGCGAGAAGGAUCCAGACUCCGGAUGGUCAAGCACAAGUCCAAACGUCUCGACACCUACAUAGCCUCUAUCCUCUAA